UUUUACUAUUUAUUUAAAAUAGCUACCAAUUAAGUAUAUUAACUGUUCUAUGUAUAUUGUAAAAUAUACGCUUUAAAAUUUCAAACCACGCACACAUAAAAAAUUUGUUACAUCUUGAAAUGGGACGUUAUUGUAUAUUAUGCGGAAAAAAUUGUCGAAAAGCGAUGAAAGUAUCUUACCAUAAAUUUCCUAAAGAUAUAACACAGAAGAAAAUAUGGUUGAAGUUUUGUAAUAUGGAGGAGUUAAACAUAACCCGCUACUCUGUACUUUGUAACAAAUAUUUUAAAAAAGAUUUUAUGGUUUUACGGCAAAAGUUAAGUGCAAAACAUUAGCUUGUUUUGUUAAAGUUAAAAAAGCAAUGAUGUAGGAAAUAUAUUUCUCCUGUAACUAUCUCUCUUCAGAUGUAUGUGCAAUAUUGGAACCUACUGUGACAAAGACCUUGAAAAAGUUAUAACAAUAUCCUGGUGAUGUCAAUAUAUGCCACCUGCGAAAUCCUGGAAGAGCUCUAAAUCCUGGAAGAGCUCUAAAUGCAGCCAGAAAGACCAUUUUGGAACAGAGAAGAAAAAUAAAAAUAUUACAGCAAGCAUCUAAUAGCCUGAGACAGGAAGUAAGCUCCUUAUAGAAUCUGAUGGAGCAACUAAAGAGUAAGAAGAGUAAGAACUUGAUCAGUGAAAAUGUUGCGAAAAUCUAAAUGCUACUGUUAUAGAGAUUAUUUUUAACUUUUAUUUUUAAUAAGAAGCUUAAAAAUAUGAAAUGUAAUUGCAUCGACACUCAUUUAUCGAUCUUUAAAAUAUGCUAUUAAAAUAGUAAUUGCGGGACAUUCUCCAUAUAUUGUAAUUAUAUAUUAUCUUUAUAUCUUA